ensembl:lncRNA
UUUCUUUCUCUCCCUCUCCAGGUACCAAACUAAUGACAACACUUUCAAGGAGCUCGUUGGUUUCUGGAUCAACAACCUGUCCAUGCGAGUCCCAAACUCAGUGGUGCUUCCUGUGGGAACCCAUGUGGACUGCUGCCAGGAGGAGGAGAUUGAGGAGAAGAGGCAGGACAUCAUGGCCAAGAUCACAGCCAUGCUGGCAGAGAGAAAAAGCAACCUCACUCACUGCAUCAACAACCUGGAGGGCAGCGAGGAGCCCAAGCUUUACGUAGACCAGUGGGAGAGGCUGAAAGAGAUGGAGAGCUGCACAUUAACCGUAGGGCUGAGAUUAUCCUGGUUUCUGGCUGUCUGUGGUCACCUGUUGUCUCUGGCAGCCCAGUGUGCUACUGGCAAUAGUGACCUGGUGCUAAUGCAUCAAGCCCCUACUGCAGCUGCUCCCCGGGCUGGGGUGGAUGUGGUAACCCCUGGCUGUGACCUGCUGGGUCCUUGUCCCUGCUAGGUGAUGGGCAUCUCCUCCUGUGGCUUGUAGCAAAUGCCUGAGGAGGAGUGUGAGGGGUCAUUUACCAUCACCAGGUGAUUUUCCAGGAACUGCUGCAGAACAAAGGUAUGUGCUUUCUCUUUUCCAGAUCUUAAGCUUAGUUGCUGUCAACUGCACGGAUCACUGUGAUAUCAAAAAGCUCGAGGCCACUAUUUUGGAGCACGUGAAGAACAAGGAGCUCUUCCCCGAGGUGGUCCGAGUGCUGCCACCUGUUUACAGGCAGGUGGAAGCUGCCAUUGUGGAUAUCGCACAGAGCGAGGAGAUGGCAGAUCAUGGCAUGAUGGACCUCCAGUACCUGCUCAGCAAACUCUCCCAGCACAAGCACCUGGCCAACCUGGGCAGAGAGCUUCUCCAGGACAUAUUGCGGUACCUCCACCGCAUCGGGCUUGUCGUGUGGUACGAGGAAAUCAAGCAACUGGAAAGCACCGUUUUUCUCCAGCCUACCUUCCUAAUAACCAUGUUCAAGCUCCUUGUGAGGUAUCGCCUGGUCCAGCAGCUCGAGAGCAUCUCUGUGGAGACACUGAUUGGGGAACACGCCACCAUCAGAGACAGGGCCAACUGGGUGUGGACCUUCAAGUCAAAGGCAAUGCUGUGCCACCAGGCUGUGCGUGCUUUGGUGAAGCACCAGCUCUGUUCGGAAGGGAUGUGGGAUGUCUUUGAGGAAAUCAUGGGAAACGGGCCUCAGAGAGGGAGAGGGAAGCUCUUCAGCCUUCUGGAGCACUUUGAGCUCUGCCUGGAGGUGAGGCAUAUGGAAGCACUCAACCCACAGGCCAGUGAGUUUGUGCCUGGGAAGCCAUGGGAGACAACACGGAGCCAAGGCGAGUCCUGGUACUUGUUCCCAACCUAUCUGAACCAAACAGAAGAAGUCUCUGAGGUGUGGGGAGGAGAUCACCCCGAGGACCUCCACAUCCGUGCCUACUUCUCACCUGAAAUACCUGAGAGCUUCUUCCAGAGGUAAGCAGCAGUUUCCAGCCCUUGAUUAGGUUGUGUGACUUGGGGUUUGCUCGGUGCAGUGCCAGUGUGACUGUCAGCAAGCCCUUGGCUGUUGAGACUUGUAUCUGCUGAGCCAUGAGGCUGGGAGUCAAGG